GCCGCCCUCCAGUGAGCCGCUAGCUAUGUUCCGCAGAAGCGCCUGCCUAGCGCGGAGCGUGGACUUCUGUAUACUGGACUGUGCGAAUUCAAGUCGGAGGCAAGUCGGGGGCAGGGGGCAAAUCGACUCAUCAGUUCUUAAAUGACCUCUUUAGAUCCAUGAGGUGAUAGGAGCUAAAUAUGCGAGCACGAUAUUUUGUCAUUUUUACCUAAGCCCUGCACCUGCCCAUUGCCAACUUUUUCCGAUCGCAUUGCGGCGACUCCUGAGAAACAGAAACUUGGAAGCUAAUCGCCUGAUUACUAAGGGCGGCGGUGACGCCGAGUGCACUGCGCAGUUACAUUUCCGAUAUCAUGUAGUAUCAUCUUCUGUGACUCUUGGCGACGGAACAAAAAUCCGCAAGGUCCGCAGUGAUGUCUAUCACAUUUUGCUUCAUGAUGUGAAAAGCCACCGCUAACACGAACAUAACGGCACGUCCUUGUAAAGUGGACUACUUAAUGAAAGCUGCAUUUAUAUGUACAUAAAAAUGAUGUUACCGUUUCUUAGUAUAAGCGUUACGCUGUCUGCUUUUAUUAUUUUGGCAAUACAUUUGAAUUAGGAAAUCUAGCGUCUUAAAAAAAGAAGAAUCCAGGGACCUGGCGUAGACAUGCCAGAUAACGGUUUCGCAGUUCCAUCCGAAGGUACUCUGGAUUUCCUCUGAUAUUCCCGAAAAUGCUCAGCUUUGACAAGUUCUUCAAUUUCUGCCUUCUUAAGAGAUGACCUGUAGAAAGUCCUUAGCAAAAUGUCCCUCAUGAGAUGGAUGUCUUUCCAAGCAUCACCAAGGUCCUCACAAUGUGCCAUACAAUGUUCUCUGAUAAGUGUGGAAUGGACUGCAGCUGAAGAGCAGCUACACCUUUUCAUUUGCCCUACAUGACUGAUGAGUCGUCUGAGGUUUUCGAUUGCUUGCACCAGACUUUUUCCUGCUUGGCUGUGUGAUUGAGCUCUGGAAAGCACCGUUACCAUGUGCUUAUUGUCUUACACCCAGUUUUGCUACAAUUAUAAUAAUACAGCUUUUUUCAUGGACAGCUCUUCAGAAUAUCAGGCACAGAGAGGCCUCAAGCUGUGUGAAGUACGAGGUGCAUUGUCACUGGUGUACUGGCGGAGGCUGGUAACUGAGCUGCACUCUUCGAGUGGUGACUGAAAUGCUAGAACUUUUCUUGACAACAAACAAAAAGUAUUUUAAUAGUUAAAAACUUGAAACAGUAGUUGUGUAACUCCGUCUCAAUGUAGUUGAGGAGCUUUUUUGCAAAGAGAACAUUUGGAUGGAAAAAGACAAGUUUCCAGACAAAACAACUAUCCACAAAAUCAGUGCAAACCGUCUGAAACAUAAGGCUUAUUAACUUUCUGCACUCUAAAAAGUGUCAUGCCACAAAAGGUAUGCUCGUGUUUGCCAGGUUUUUCACCAGGUACUCUUAACAUCCCAUAGUCAUGCAGGGUAGGCUGAUUGAUUGGAGACUAUAAAAUGAGUGAAUGUGAAUUUGCUUUGCAAACAACUACUACCCCAUCCAAGGCUGGUUUAUGCAGUGUACCCAAAUUAGUUGGCUAAGGAAGACACAAAACAAUAGAUGGACCAAUGUCUUUGGCAGUGGCAUGGCUUUUAGAAUGGUUUGUGUAUGCAUCUAAAAAUUGGGUGUAAUACCCUGCUCAAGAUACUCUCUUUAUGAAGCAUAUGUGAGUGUGCCCUGUGACAGACUGGGUCUGGGUCCUGAAUAGGUGCUGUCUAUUCAUAAUCCUUUAACGAAGCUAGCAGGUUCAGAAAUUGUAUUAAUGAAUGUACAGUAUAAGUUGAGGUCACUGGGAUUGCAGAUUCUAUUCCAGAUAUAUUAGCUCUAGAACACAAACAUUUUAGGAUGGCAUAAACAUAAUUCUGUUCUUCUUUUCUCCUCCACUACUUCCUAGACAAGGUUGUGCUAAUGCACCUAGCCAGGCAUUACCAAGGUGAAGAAAAAUAAACUUUCUUAUGUUUAGUUAAAAUUUGGGUGAAAGGCAGGAAAAGGGAAAUGCAGCACUUACUUAUUUUUUACUUGAACUUGUGUACGUGAAGAGACGCUCGCAUCCUCUGUGAUUGGCUGGGAGAGACAACAUGCAUUAUGAUUGGUCGUCAAAACCGUUGUGCAUUAUAAAAGGUACUUCCUGCCUGCAGGGUUUGUCUUUUGGCCAUUUGGUAAGUGGGAGGAGCAGUUUUUGCAAUAAAUUAUUGCAGUUUGUGUCUGUUUUUGUAAAUAUUCUCUUUGUAUCAUAGGUAUUUCCAAGUUUUAGUUCUUGAUUGCUGGAGGUACUUGUAUAGUUUGGGUUUUGGUGCACUUUUUGUAUAAACACUUAUUAUUUUUUUCAUUUGUACAUUUUUGUGUAUUAUACUUCUUUUUGGGGUAGUGUAGUUGUAGUGCUGCUGCAUUGCAUAAAGGAGACCAGAGUUCGUGUCCUGGGGUCUCCCUACAUGGAGUUUGCAUGUUCUCCACAUGUCUGUGUGGGUUUCCUCCCAAAGACAUGCAGGUUAGGUGGACUGGUGACAUUAAAUUGGCCUUGGUAUGUGAGUGUAUGUUUGCCCUGCUCUUGACUGGUGCCUUGUUCUGUGUUUGUUCCUGCCUUGCACCCUAUGCUUGCUGGGAUAGGCUCCUGCAACUCUGUUCAGGACAAAGUGGGUUACAAAAUGACUGACUAGACCUCCUUUUGUAAUGUGAUAGGUAGAGUAACGUCCUACCAGCAUUUUCAUUGAGGAAUACUGCCAUUUAUUUUGUGUAUACACAUUUAUUUUUUCUUGUUGUUUUUCUUUUUGGGACCUCGGGACUUUGACUAUAAUUACUGUAAAUAUUCAUCAUUGGUUCUGUGUGUCAUUGCUUUUCUUGUAUAUCAAAGCUCGUAUGACACUGCUCUUGUUUCGUUUUUGAGUGCAUCUGUACAUAAACAGCACAAUAUUUAUUUAAAACCCCAACAAAAUAGUGAGUGAAAAUGUUUGACCAAAUUGUGAUUGUUCAGGUGAAGACUGUUAUAGUUCAAAGUUUAGGACUUUGAGUAUUAGCAGAUCAUUCAUGUAUUAGUAGUAAUGGCCCAAAUGCUCUUACAAUGGCUAUUGUGCAUACAUUGAAGGGUUUUUUGAGUGAUUUUGCAACAUGAAUGACCUUAAAUCACAAAUUACAUUCAAGCAAGUAGCAUAUGUGGUUGCACAGAACUGGAGUAUCAUUCUUGGAGUUUAGCACUGAGAUCCAAUCACUCUGUGUGUGCAUUUGGUCACAAUGCCCAAACAUCUAGGAAAGCUUUAAGGUGAACAUGUCUCUGUGCAAGGAAGCAGGAGAGCUUGUUACCUCCAUACAAACAACAUGAUAAUGGCCUGAGUGUUCCACACCACAAUAUUUCCUUUUCUGAGCAGAUUUUGAUUGUGUACUGGAUCAAAGAUUAGCAUAUUCACUUAAUUUAAAAAAAAAACUGAUGUGAGAAGACAAAAUGGAGCUUUUGGUGACCAUUUAUUUGUCCCUGUAUUUAGAGUUGGCUUUGUCCCACUAUUCCAUUCCCACUAGCUGUCCCAGGACAGAAUUAUAACUCCUCUCCUAAAAGGCUAACAUACACAGUGGAAUCUUCAAUGUCCAAAUGUUCCAAUUACCUUUAAGAAGCAUACUGCUAAUCACUAGUUUAAAUCCUCCAGAUCAUAAAAAGUAAAUCCCUGUAUCUGAAUUCUGUCACGUAACUGCAUAAAUCUUAGUUGGGAGAAAUUCAAGAGAUGUUCUGCAAGUUAAGUUGGGUUUCCAGCAGUUUUAGGAUGAACGGGCAUAUUAGGAACACUUCUUUGGCUUUCUUAAUUCAUUAUUCUAUAAAUUCUUCAUGCUGGUGUCCUGACCCAGCCUGGCUUUGUCAAUGGCUACACCUUCGAGGACCUUUUGGUUCUCUCUCUUCCCAGUUAAAGCUAAGGCUUGCCAUGAGUGCUGCUCAGUACUGCUUUUGGGUCUAAAUUAAUUUCUGUUUUGGCUUUGUAACCUGGUACUUCUAUCUCGUUAUCAGAAAUGUCCAUUAAUUAUUGUAAUUUAAGGGCUGGAGACUGAGCCAGUCACACAUGAGAAUUUUAUGCUCUCUGUGAAGAUUUAGUUUAUGGUUUGUUGGAUUUAUGUCUAUAGAUUAUGUGUGGUUUUGCAUUCAAAUUUCAUGCCUGGAUGUUUUCUUUGGUGUCCUCACCAAAGAUGUGCUGGUUAGGUUAGCCAGUGAUAUUAAUUUGGCCCCUCAAAAAUACAGAUGUGUGUGUGAAUGUGAUCUAACUCUGUCGUAGACUAGUGCCCUCUCCUGGAAGUUUUUCCAGCCUUGCAACCAACACUGCUGGGAUUGGCUCCACACCCCUCAGCUCUUAAUUGAAUUAAUUGUGGAUGUCCAUUAUAGUCAGCCAGGCUUCUUCUCUUAGAAAGUAUUCUAAUUUACAGGUUUGAGCCCAGUUUCUUGGACUGGUGUCAGUUAUUUCGAUUUAGUUUAAUUUUUGCUCUCUAGGUUUUAGUAAGCCAUUUCAGCUUUUGGUAAUUUACUUGUUGUUCAGUUGUGCUGUGUAAGUCUUACUGAAUGUUUAAAGUUACUUUUUUUCUCAAUUACAUAUACAGUAAAACUGAAACAAUUUGUAAUCUUGUAUUCUUUAACCUUCAAUUCAAUUCUCAAAAUACAAACACAUUUCCCGGAAUUAUAAACACUACACAUACGUUUCACCCAUGUUUCAGAUUAGUUGCACCAUUUCAGCAGAGCUUUAGACACAGAGACCUUCUUGAAGCACAGAUUGCCUCAAUCAGAAAGCUCUACCAUUCCAAUAUAAUUAACUCACGUCACCAUAAAACAGAACACAGCUCUUCAGGUGCAAACACUGAGCAGCAAAAUGAUUCGAAUGCCAGUUACAACUGCAGGAUUAUUAAAAAGCCAUUCCUUGAUGAUCUUCAUGGUGGUGUAAGCCUCCAAAAACAAUGUAAGCCUAGAUGGACACAGCAGUCACACUACAUUGACAUUUAGGACAUUGUAUGUUCCCACCGUGCUGCAGUGGUAUGCAACUUGUUCACUGCCCGUCCCAGGCUUUCUAGGCAUAUUUUAUAAUCUUCAGUUCCAUUGAAGAUGAAGAUGUCCAUAUGUUCAGCAUGGUGGUGGAAGGUACACUAUAUCAUAGGACUCCCUAGGAAAUUGGAUAAACCAUCUGCAGGAAGUUGAGCAGGCCUUUGAGGACAUAACGCUUAUGUCUAUUCAUGGGUGUUAAAGGCACAACAGAACACAUUUCUCCUGCUGCUUUGAUUUUUAUCUGUGUUUGAUUUUAAUUUUUUUUCACGUAGUACUAUUUUAUACAGUAAAUGUGAGUAAAUGAAAGAGACUUUGUAUUUCAUCAGUUAAUAUACAGUACCUGUACCCAUCCACAUGUGUGGAACACUGUAGUGUUACCAAGUUCAACACAUUGUUGGAGGAGAACGGGUAUCGCGAUUGGGAAGGAUGAUGGUUUAUUACUCAGAAUGGAGGCCAGAACAAAUGACAGAUAGAUUUGCCAGCAAGACAGAAAAAUAACUUUGUGCUCGGCUAGGAUAAUAUAGUGCAUGGACCAGCGGAAGCCGAGAGUCGGGAGCAGUUCCAGCCCCCAUAUACCAGGUGGCAGUUGUCCUUAUAUGGCAACCCAGAAAGGACACCCGCAGGGUUGCUUGGGAGUUGGAGUCCAGAAGUGCAGCCUUCUCAGGGUUCUGAGGUGCCGACAGAAGGUGCUGUCAGGGGAGGAUCUUCCUACUUUCUAUAUGGCCCAUCAGUGCUUCCAGGAAAACAGUGUGGCACCAGAAGCAGUCCCGGGCCUGGCUUAAAAGGGAGUCUGCUGCAUCAUAUCGAUCAGUCAGUCGGGAGACAGUGGGGAACAGUCAACAGGAGGACGAGAGGAGGAAGAGUUUAUUUAUAUUAUGUAUCACAGCAGAUCUUUGGAAGGGUGAUUGUCAGAGAGGUACUAUGGAUAAAUAAAUAUCUUAUUUUAUCGUUAAAGUGUGUUGCACAUUACUGUGUCUUGGGGCUCAGAGGUGCCUAUAUUUAUCCUGUCAUUCAUGAGUCCUUACUGUAACUGAUUUUUAGAGUACGUGUUCUGGAUUAAUGCUGCUAGGGUGGAGUGGAUAGUCUUUGUGUGUGUUUUUGAUUGCUUGUUGUCACUUGCGUGAAAGGUUUGGUUUAGAUGGAAGUGUCUGUUUUGGGGUUUAAUGGUGACUUUUGAUGUAUACAUUUGGUGUUUAUACAAAUGAGUUGUUUUUCUAUUGUGUUUUAAGUUUUGAGAAAACAGUAAAAUGUGUCCAAGCAAUUGAGAAAAAACUAAUUUCUUAUUUUAAGGUUUUAAAUUGAUGUCUUAGUGCAUUUUUACAGUAUCUGUUUCCCUUGCAAUUGUUUAUCUGUUUUGUUUAGUUCAAAUAAGAUUCUUAAUAAAUAUUUCUGCUUUAAUUAGGUUUGCUAAGUCAAUUACUAAUAACUGGCCACAUUAGCUCUAAAUGAGAAUUCUCUCUUACUUUUGUUUUGAAUGAUUUAUGUUGUAAAUCAUUGCCAUUUGUUAAUUGUAUUUUUACAGGACUUUGAUUAGUGGCUUUCAUGAAUGACUUUGAUUAGCCUGGGCACUUACAGUCUUGAAUAUGCUGUGUUUGCCCGUGACCUUGUUCACUGAAUAUUUUCCUAAAAAUUCGCUGUCCAGCUGGUUCACACAAACAUUUUUUCCUCUGUGCCCCAUGAUGCUUGAGAGGACAGUGUGACAUCUCACAGCUGUAGCAGCCAUGUGCAGAAUUUUCACAUGCAUACUGUAAGCGUAUUCUGUCUCACAUUUUAUGUCACUACCAGAUUUGCUUUGCAUAUGUGUGAUGUCAUUGCUUCAGACAGAUUUGCACUCUGCAUGUGUAGCUGACCAUAAUGAGAAUAUUCUAAAAAUACUGAAUGAGCAACUGGAAGUGAGUUUGAUCUAAUCACCAGAGGUUACACCUUCCUUCAAAACUAGCUGCAUUCAUCUUUUCUGUUCUCUUUGAGGAGCUGAAAGCUGACGAGCCGCUGUCUUUCAGGUGAGAAGUCUCAAACUCCCUGUGGAGCAAAACUCUCGCAAAAUUUCUUUGACCUGAAAGCUACUCUCCAUAGGGCUUUGGAGCAGAUCAAGCUUUAAGAUACACUCUGCCAAGCUCUUUCCCAGUGAAUGAGCCCAGACUAAGAAGACAUUAUCUCAAAAAGGGAACUUCAGCACCUCCACUCUUGUGCCAGAAAGAUCAACAUUUUUCCCUGUAAAGUUGCAGAGGGCCUAACAGUGAGCUGAGGAAGGCAGCAUCACACCAUACUACUCCAAGCCACGGAUAAAGGACCACGUAGUAAAGACAAACAGUGCACUGCAAUGCAAGAAGAAUACUCCACCUGAACCAGGAACAACAAUAUUGAACUUCACACAGCACUGGACAUCAUUCCUAAUGCCUUGGCAUUGUUUAUCCAUGCCGAAAUAAAUUAGAACUAAAUAGCCAGUGAACAGUCAGCCUCUUCUGUGUUACAUGUUUGUCUGUCUUGUACCUUGCUUCCCAUCUUCUAUGUCAAUGUAAAUGCAAGUAUCAUAUUUCUCUAACCAUUGUGUCAUUCUGUUUCUUAAUUAAGUAUGCUACAGUUACCUUGUGUCACAGAUGGCUGGGUUUCUUACCCGGCCAGGCCGCCUAAAAGGACCGGAAGGUGGCAUAAAAAGCUUCCGGGUCACAAGGGAGCAACCGUCCUGGAUAAAAAGAGGAUCAUGGGAAAGGGACAAAAAGAUUUUAACCUGUUGGGACCCAUGGCCACCGCCAGGGGGUGCCUUAAGCCUCAACAGACCAGGAGAAUUGUCACUUCCGCCACACCAGGCAAGAUGGCAGAUGAACCUACCAGGGAUGCCCGGAGUGCUUCCGGGGCAAAGGG